CCCAUAUCACGUUGAAACACCUCUGUCGUCCGAUCACCGAAGUUAAGCAACGUUGAUCCUGGUCAGUACUCAGAUGAGUGACCAAUGGGGAAUAUCCGGUGCUGA